rnacentral:ncRNA from 1 species
UGCGAUUAUUCUGAAAGGGCUAGAAUUCUAACUUUGUGUCAGGACCUACGUGUCAAGAGAUAAUCUCAAAUAGAUAAUUUUUAUGGGAGCGUAGGCCUCCCAAAAGGUAAUGGAAAUGUUUCCUCACGAAGAUUAGCCCUCGAGUGCAAAGGCAGAAGGAACGUAAAGUUGGCCUUAGUGAUCCGACGAUAUCGAGUGAAAGGGUCGUCGCUCAACAGAUAAAAGUUAGUCUGGGGAUAAUAGGUUGAUCUUCCCUAAGAGCUCACUGAAGGUUUGGCACCUUGAUAACGACUCUUUGCCACCUGGGGUUGUAGUAUGUUCCAGGGUUGUUCAUCCAUUAAAGUAAUACGUAUACGUGAGCUGGGUUCAAAACAUCGCGAGACUGUUCGGUCCAUAUUUGUUGUA